GGGCGGAGACGGAGACGAGGGAGGGCAAGGAUGGCAAAUAUGUUGGGUCUAGACGGUGGAUCAGCUUCAGGAAGAAUAAGGAGAUUCCGAAGGCGGCGGGCGGUGGCGACGGCGGCGGCCGUGAUGUCAGGAGGGGCGACGGAGGCACAAGGGUGAAGAUCACGAGGUUUAGGAGUAGAAGAAGCCUUUUUGGAACCUCGACUUCAAAAUCGCACUUCAUUGCGAGCAUUUAUGGAAGCUUGAAGCAAGUGAUUCCAUGGAGACGCAAGCAAGACGAUAUGAGAAAAGUAUCAGAAUGAUCAUAUAAAAGCAAAAUAGGAAUCUUAACCAUCGAAAUAUAAAUAAUAAUAUAAUUACAAACUUUUUCAAAUAUGUUAUUAUAGUUACCUCUCCUUGUUUGUUCUGUUUGUUUACUGGUAUAGGCUCCUGUGUAAAUAUCCUGGCUAAUAUAAUUAUACUGCUUAUUCUGA